rnacentral:rRNA from 1 species
UACAGAGGUCUCGAGCGUUAGGCGGAAUCACUGGGCUUAAAGCGUGUGUAGGCGGAUGCCUAAGUACCUUGUGAAAUCCCACAGCUUAACUGUGGAACUGCUUGGUAUACUGGGUGUCUUGAGCCACUCAGGGGCGAGCGGAACAAAUGGUGGAGCGGUGAAAUGCGUAGAUAUCAUUUGGAACGCCAAUGGUGAAAACAGCUCGCUGGGGGUGUGCUGACGCUGAGACACGAAAGCCAGGGAGCGAACGGG